UUGGUAGUGGCUCAAAGGUAGAGUGUUCGCCUAGCACAUUCAAGGCCCUAGGUUGAUCCUCAGCACCACAUAAAACAAUAAAUAAAUAAAAUAAAGAUAUUUUUUUAAAAAAGGGUUGGGGAUGUAGCUCGGUAAUAGAGCACUCCUGGGUUCAAUUCCUAGCACCAAA
rnacentral:tRNA from 1 species